CCGAGGCUCCCGGAAGCAGAACGAACGUUUCCUGUGGCUCUGACUGUCUGUGAAGUAGCAUCGCAAGACAAAUGCCUACAGGCAGCUGGAGAAAGUGAGCCGGUGACAAGAGAGGAGCCCUCCGUAGGACGUGACAAGACCUUCGGGACCAAGUGUCCAGAUGGCCACAGGCCACUGCAAAACAUCAGGACAUCUGGACCACAUAGCCUCUUGUGAGCAAGGCCGCAGUGAGUCUUUCCUCAAGGAGGACUGACAGCGUCGUAUUUCGGAGCCUACAGAGCUGAGGGCAAGACCCGAGAACGGUGACAUCAAAAUGCCCACCACGGAGGCCUCUUGGUGGACUGGCAUCCAGCCAGCCCUGCUCCUGUGCCAGCCACUGUCUCAGUAGAGGCCCUUUUAAGACAUCACCAUGACGUGAGCUGUGUCGAUUAGCUGAGUGACAUCCACUAACAAAAGCUACAGAAUGAAACUGUGUGUGUGUGCGUGUGUGUGUGUGUGUACAUGCAUGUCCAGAGAAACAUAACUUCUUAACACUAGGAAGCUCAAAUAUAGCAGUCGGUUCAAUCUGACGUAUCACAUGGUCUUUAAUUAA